CGGGUCCUGAGUGGGUGGCACGUGGGCCGCUGGUGAGGUUACCUGCACGUUCUCUUCUGUCACCUCGAUCUCUGCGGUGUAGAUGUAGUCGAUGAGCUUGCUGAGAGUCUGUCCGUCCACGUCCUUGAUUUCGAUCUUCUUGGCCUUGCUCUCAGACAUGUCACCUGUGGUUCCACAACAGAACAGAGAAGGACAGGAAUUUGGCACCUGUGGCAAAUUUGCCUCCUGCGUUGUCUAGGAAACCUGCGGCUCUUGCCUGUGCCCCCAGAAACCACUGGAGAGAGUCAGGCACAAGGACAUCAAGGUCAUAACGACCUUGGAUCACUCAUACACCAACGAACAUGUAUGUCAAGACCCCUGAAUAAAAGCACAGCAGCAUACAGAACCCAGGCUAAAGGGCAUAAUAAAAGGAGAACACGGUGGCUAGAAAGGUA
rnacentral:lncRNA from 1 species